rnacentral:sRNA from 14 species
UAAUUCCCGGCAAAACUCGGAAGUUAUCUAGCUAGGUUGCAGGCCAAGGAUUAGUUUCCUACGUUGUUUUAGUCAUGAUACCUGGGAGUGACCUCCAGCUCCCAGCUCUAUC